UACGUAGGGGGCAAGCGUUGUCCGGAUUUAUUGGGCGUAAAGAGCGUGUAGGCGGCCACACAGGUCUGCUGUGAAAACUCGAGGCUCAACCUCGAGCUGUCGGUGGAAACCGUGUGGCUAGAGUCCGGAAGAGGAGAGUGGAAUUCCCGGUGUAGCGGUGAAAUGCGCAGAUAUCGGGAAGAACACCCGUGGCGAAGGCGACUAACUGGACAAGUAUUGACGCUGAGGUACGAAAGCGUGGGGAGCAAACAGG
rnacentral:rRNA from 1 species